rnacentral:rRNA from 1 species
CGCAUCUGUGCAUGCAGCAUAUCAAUAAGCGGAGGAAAAGAAACUAACAAGGAUUCCCCUAGUAACGGCGAGUGAAGCGGGAAGAGCUCAAAUUUGAAAUCUUAAAGGGUUUCCCUUUACGAAUUGUAGUUUAAAGAAGUGUUUUCUGUUGAGGUUUUGGUAAAAGUUCUUUGGAAGUAGGACAUCAUAGAGGGUGAGAAUCCCGUAUUUGACCUUUACUUUCAACUUUGUGAUACACUUUCAAAGAGUCGGAUUGUUUGGGAAUGCAGUCCAAAAUGGGUGGUAAAUUUCAUCUAAAGCUAAAUAUUGGCGAGAGACCGAUAGCGAACAAGUACCGUGAGGGAAAGAUGAAAAGAACUUUGAAAAGAGAGUUAAACAGUACGUGAAAUUGUCAAAAGGGAAGCGUUUGACACCAGUGUUGUUUUUCUGAAAAUCAAUUAAAGAACUGUUUAUGCUAAGCUGUUUAGACUUUAUCAGCUAUCUGUUUAGUUUUGAGCUUUUCUUUAAUGCACUUUUCAGUUAACAAGUCAACAUCAAUUUCUUUUGCUGUAAAAAAGCUUGAGGAAGGUGGCUUGAGAUUCGUCUUAAGUGUUUAUAGCCUCUUGCCUAUGCAGUCGGAGAGAUUGAGGUCUGCAGCGUAGAUCCUUCGGGGCUAAAUGCAUUUGUGCUAAGUUAUAGCAUUUUAUAGACAACUUGUUGACUAUGAUUUGUCUUGUAGCUUACUCGCUUAUGUUAUUUUACCUACGCUUAGGAUGUUGAAUCUGUGCGAGACUAC